rnacentral:misc_RNA from 1 species
GUUUAACUCUGUUCGCCUUGUCGCAGAACCAGGGUUGACCAUUUCGUCCACCUCCCUCACCAGACUGCAAGGUGUGCUUUCUCUAGUGCUUCUAUGAGUGUGUUGAAAAUGAAGAUUAUUGUCAGGAAAUGAGAUUUCAUCAACAGACCCAACAGAAGCAGAGUGUGGGUGUGAGUUAGGGCAGGGAAUGGGGGUGGGUGGUUUGUGA